CUGGCUUCUCCAUUCCAUCGGCGGCGCCCGCCUCUCUCCAUCUCGCUGGCUCGUGACGACGAGAACGAAGAAGAAGAGCUGGUUUAUUGGGUCUGUUUCCACUGUACCGCAACUCUUCUCGAUGCCUCCCUUCUCGAUUCCAUCAGCAGCGCCCGCUUCUCUUCCUCUCGCCGGCUCGUGACGACGAGGACGAAGAAGAAGAGCGGGUUUAUUCGGUCUUUUUCCACUGUACCGCAACUCUUCUCGAUGUCUCCCUUCUCGAUUCCAUCAGCGGCGCCCGCCUCUCUCCAUCUCGCCGGCUCGUGACGACGAGAACGAAGAAGAAGAGAGGAUCAUUUAACUUAUUAUCUGAUAAUGCUUGAAGGUUUUUCAGUCAUCUCUAUACUUGUAAAGGUUGGUUCCAUGUGCCUUUUCUUACUUACACUAUGGUCUAAUGCCAUAAGUAUAUUAUCAUCUUCUGGCCUCAAUCAAUUUUGAAUUGUCUUCACUGUGUGUGACCAGAUGUGAGUCCUAAAUAUGUUAAUAAAAAAUUGUCAUCAAAUUUUGGUUUAACGUGGCUUGCAAUGUCCCCUAGUUCUUAUUUCCUAUCAGACAAUAAUAAGAUUCAGAUUAUUAGAAGUGGUAAAGAUGGUGCAUUAAAUAAAUUUUGCAGCUUGCAAGCUCAAACAACUGUAUAUUAUGUUAGCAGCCAAGAAUCUAUGCGUAAAUAUUACUAUUUGUAAAUGGUUAAGCUGAACCCGCACCCCCAAAUGCUAUAUUCAUCCAAAAAGACCUAGGCAGCAUGUUUGCUGAUGUGGCUUGUUGAUUGGGAUUAAGGUCAUAUUGCUAUAAAUUUAUUGGGACUAGGGUCAAUUGCUUAAUUAUUUAGGGUUUCUAAGUUCCCUUUUGAACCAACAUCUAUUGAUGUAAUCCUUUUUCAUUACACCUUGAAGUAUGCAGUUUAGUGGAUGUUGUCUUUGUUUGUGGUUUUGGAUGUGUAAUAUUUCUUACCUUAAAAUCUGCAAAUCCUGAGAAAAGCAAGUCAAGAAUUGUAGUGCCAGUUUCUGACCCUUUUUUGUACUCAAUAUAUUAUUUCUACCUUUGGUUGGUUUCUUAAAGUUAUUGCAUCUACAAUUACAAGUUACAUUGAUUUUUUCCCCCUCGGCAAGAACUCAUCAAUUAAUGAUAUUAUAGAUAUUCUUGUUGUGCUGGUUGUUUCUAAAGUGCUGAGAGAUUUAAAACUGAAACUGUGUAAGGUUUGUUUUUGCAAAUCUGGAACUCAUUUUCAAGAUGGUUUUUGUUUCCAGUUUAGAGGUAGAUAUCUCGAAGUAAUAUCAACAUUAAUAAUAGAUUGCACCAUUGUGUAUGCUGGGAUAGAACUUGAUCACAAAUCUUGCUUGUUGUGUAAAAUAUUAUUGUGGAACUACUAAGAAAUAUAGAUAACAAAACUGACUUCUACCAUGUGUAUCUUAACAUUCUUGCCUAUACGUCAGUUGAAUAUUUUUAAUUUUUAUUUAUCACUUGUAUUUCUUCCCCUAAUUUGUAGUAGUUCAAUAGUGUGUUCAAUUUUCCUGGUAGAAAUCCCUUUUAAUUUAUCUUUAGGUUACUUUCUGUUUUUUCCCUUCCCUUUCCCCGUUUUUAUUUCAUUUCAUGUAUUUAUCAUUAUCACUUGCAGAAGUUUCUUAUAUAUGCUUUUAUGGUGAGGUGUGUUGUUGUUUUAUUUUUUUAUUUUUAUUUUUCACUUUGGAGCAUUAUGGAUGAAUUUUUUUAGUUUGGAGGUCACCAUAGUUUAUUCUCUUGUAGUUCACAACUUCUAAUGACUACGUGUUAUUGGCUAAUGUGGACAGAUACAGGUCAAAUAUCUAAUCAAUUUUUUUUUCUUUUUCUUGGUUUGGAUGCCAUUAUUUAGUAGGAAAAUUGCGAACAUAUUUGUUAUGCCUUUGUUAGAGUUAAUCUAUUUUUUAUAGUUAGUUUUGAUCUUUAUCGUAUUUGUUAGUUUGUUAACUUCAUCCCUCUCUAUAUAUUGUUAGUCUUUACGGAUAUUUGAGGAGUGGGAAAUUUAUUUAUCUGGUGUUGAGUUUAUGAGCACGUUUGGACCUUGUGCAAAAUAUUAUCCUAGACCUUCCAAUA